UACGGGGGGGGCAAGCGUUGUUCGGAAUUACUGGGCGUAAAGGGCUCGUAGGCGGCCAACUAAGUCAGACGUGAAAUCCCUCGGCUUAACCGGGGAACUGCGUCUGAUACUGGAUGGCUUGAGUUCGGGAGAGGGAUGCGGAAUUCCAGGUGUAGCGGUGAAAUGCGUAGAUAUCUGGAGGAACACCGGUGGCGAAGGCGGCCCCCUGGACCGGAACUGACGCUGAGGCGCGAAAGCGUGGGUAGCAAACGGG
rnacentral:rRNA from 1 species